AAGUCUUUGGUUGCCUUGCGGAAGGAUGAUUCUUCAAGGUGGAACGAAAGAUUAGGGCAAAUGAGUGAUUAUUACAAUGAAUAUUAAGACCCUAUUUAUAGACUUCAUUCCAACCCUAAUUACCAUCAAAAUCGGCCCAACAAACUUGGCUUAAGGAAAUAGAAUCGUAACAGGGAAGGAAAGUCCAGCUGGAAACGUGCUCUGCAAGUAUUGGCGGCUCUGGCGAAAAAUCGCCUGCUCUGGAAUUGUGUUAACUCUGGCGCGUCAAGUCAGAGCUGGAAGUACGCUCUGGAAAGAUAUGUUGAUUCUGGUGAAAUAUGUUAACUCUGGAGAAAUAAGUUGACUCUGGCGCGUAAAGUCAGCUCUAAAAAAUUGUACGCUCUGGAUAAGAUCAGCUCUGGAAUGUUCAGAUCUGGAACCAUAGCUCUGUAUCGGCUCUGGAAUGUUCAAAUUUGGAACCUUAGCUCUGUCGAGUCUUAGCUCUGCUCUGACAAGUUUGUUCUGCUCUGGAGAAUUCAGCUCUGAUAGUGAAGUUCAGCUCUGGAGAUGGUCAGCUCUGGCUGGCAUUUUCGUUCUGCACUGGCGCGGGCUUUUCGGCUUUGGUGCGGGCUUUUCCGCUCUAGCGCGGGCUUUUCAGCUCUGGACACCAGUUUGCGCCUAAGGGGGGUGUAUUCGUUGUGGAAUUUGAUGGAUUUCUAUGGAUUUUAAAAGUCUGGGUGUAUUCGUUCAAGACUUUUAAAAGUCUGCAGAAAUCUGGGUGUAUUCGUUCAAGACUUUUAAAAGUCCAUAUAAAUUUGGGUGUAUUCGUUCAAGACUUUUUAAAAUCCAUACAAAUCUAGGUGUAUUCGUUAUUCCAUUGACUUAAAAUCCAAAAUGACUUUUAUGGAUUUCAUCCAAAAAAUACACACGACGAAAUCCGGCCAAGAACCACGAGAAUUGAAAUCCAUGAAGUUUUAAGCGAGAGCUGAGUUCCAGCGCCCGCGGCCAAGAAGCCAGCAAGCGCUGGAACUCAACAAUCGUUGAGAAGCCAGCGAGUACUAUGUCAUUUUCGAAUACUAUGUCAUUUUCAAGGCAUCAACUUGAUUAUUUACUAAUUUUGUGGGAUUUGGAGGCAGUACAAUGAUUGUGUGAUUAUUUUAAGAGUAAAAGGCAUCGGAAUUAUCAAUUCAUUUGAAAAUGACAUAGUAUUAGAUUUUCAUCCAAAUUUGAUGUCUUAAUGCAGGAGUUAUGGCCGCAGAAGCCUACUCCAACGGCCGAGGGGUUGCCGCGGUCGCUGGGUUUCCAGCGAGUGCUGGGACUCCGCGGGCGUUAGGUCUCUUCUAGCGAGCGCUGGUUCUCCGCGGGCGCUGGUUUCAUGAAAUUCAAUUCCAAAAUUAUCCCAUAAAGUCUUCGAAAAUCAAUGAAAAUCGGGGUGAAAUCCAACCACGAAUUCUUUGAAAGUCGUCUGGAAUUUUCGUUUCAUGAACUUUUCCGCUCUAGCGCGGGCUUUUGAGCUCUGGACACCAGUUUGUACCUAAGUACCCAAUUCUAAACCAAAAUCUCCAAAAUAUCACUCUUCCAUCUUUUAAAUCAAAAUCUCAUACAAAGCAUAAAACAAACCCAUAAACGCACCAAUUUCAGAAUAUUUAACUACAAAUAAAUGUAAACCCCCAAAUUAAGAACAAGCAUAAUCACAUAACAUACAAUCAGCUGCAUCUUCUUGCAGAAAUCAUUAAAUCAAGGUUUUACCUUUAAACCCCUCUUUCAAUCUCUUCCAUUGACUAAUCAUGAUUCAAACACCAUUAGGACUUUGCAAAUCAACUCACCCAGUCAUACAAGAAAAACAAAGAAAUCAAAUUUUACAUGUUGUAUUGACUGAACAAGAGGAAUAAAAGUAGAUUGCAGCUGUAAAAAUUCAAACUUGAGUCUUGGUUUUGGUUGUUGAAUGUUGAGUGUUGUUGCUGACUGUUUGAAGUCGAGGGGCAGAAAACGGGCCGCGCGGUGGUGGCGGCUCCUCGCUGCUGUCGCCGGUAGUCGGAGCAAAGAAGAGUGGGAAUCGGUGGUCUCGGGGCUAGGGCUCAGACGGCGCCUCCGUUCGAAAGCCGAGCGGUGGUAGCUGGCCGGUGGUGUGUAGGUGUGCCCUAUUUUCAGUCGGAGAAAGAGAGUCGGGGAGGCGGCUAUAGUCGUCGGGGAUUGAAGAGAAAUACAAGGGAGGUGUCUAGAUCUAGUGCUCGGCGGCGGCGGCGGCUCCGUCGUCGUUUCAUCCGGAGCAAAGGAAAGGGAGGCUUUGGGGCGUGCGGCGGUGGCUGGCUUCACUAGCUGCUGCUGCUGCUGCUCGCCGGAAUCGGAGAAAAGGGAUUCGGUGUUGGGGAUUUAGGGCUGAGAAGAGAGGGAAGUCGGAGGAGAUAAGACGAGAGGCGGCGGUGGCCGGCUCUUCGCCGCUGCUACCGUCGACUGUGGAGUCGAGAGAAAUGGGGGCGAGGGAGAUGACUGACCGGCGGUUCUUCGCCGGAGGAGACAAGAGGUGAGGAGCGAGGGUGUGUUCCUGGUGACUAGUGUGUGUGAGGAGGAGAGGGACAAAAGGGGUGGGGGAGACGCAGGUGUGAGUGAGAGGGAGUGAUAAGGGGUUAGGGCUUGGACCUUUGGGUAUUUUGGGCUUUGUUUUGGGCUGCGUUUUAUUUCAAUUGGGCUGCUCAUAUUUUAUUUUGGGCUGCGAAUUUUUAAAACAAAAACAUGGGCUUCCACUUAAUUGUUAGACUUCUUAAAUUGAUUUAUUAAUUUGACUCUUUAAUUUGAGUUUAAUUAAUUAUUGUUAGAAAAAAAUUUGCAUAAUAGUAUUUUUCUUAUUAUGUGCAUAUGUUAU
rnacentral:lncRNA from 1 species